rnacentral:rRNA from 1 species
UACGAAGGGGGCUAGCGUUGUUCGGAAUUACUGGGCGUAAAGCGCGUGUAGGCGGGUCUUUUAAGUCAGGGGUGAAAUGCCAAGGCUCAACCUUGGAACUGCCUUUGAUACUGGAGACCUUGAGUCCGGGAGAGGUGAGUGGAAUUGCGAGUGUAGAGGUGAAAUUCGUAGAUAUUCGCAAGAACACCAGUGGCGAAGGCGGCUCACUGGCCCGGUACUGACGCUGAGGCGCGAAAGCGUGGGGAGCAAACAGGG